rnacentral:siRNA from 1 species
GAUUCUGCGCUUAGAGACGGUUCU